GCAUAACAAGGGCUAUUUGUAAAUUAAACAGCAAGUUUCCCCCCAUGGUUGUGCUUUUUAUCAUACUAUGCAAGUAGCUACACACAUGGGACAGAUUAUCAUUUUUACCUAUUUAUACGAUGUAUCAAAAGUCCAAAUAGUUUGAACCACAUCCAUUUAUGACAAAGAAGCAAGUGCAUUUUAUUGAAGAGUGGAAAUUUUCUCAUCUCAAAUCACCAAAUUUUUCCGAUCAUAUAAAUAGCAAUCUCUUUGUACCCAUACAAGCCACAUUUGAGUAUACCACCAUCAUCACCUAGACGUUAUCCAUCCAUCUCUCAAACUAGUCCUACAAGAAGGAGAGCAUUUAGUUAACAUUGGCUCUCUUCUACUCGAAGAUCAACUCUCAAUACUUGAGCAUGUAGUGGUAGAUGCUCCAAAUAGACUCCCAUUUAUAUCCAUUUUCUCCAUCCAUGUUAGUGUCAUGGGCAGCAAGCCUAGCAAUCAAUCUUUCGAAAUGGAUAACCCACAUCAAGCUUGCUAUUUUAAUCUUAAAUUAGAGAAGUGAUUGACAAAUCAUAAGUGUCAAGUAAAAAAGAUUUAGAAGAAAUACACCUUCCUUUUUGUGAAUCCUAUAAAAUUGACAUGCCACUAGACUUAAAUCUGUUAUGCUACUGAUAAACAAGAACACGUGUUAGAGAGGUGACUGACAAAACUUAAGUAAAAAAGAUC
rnacentral:misc_RNA from 1 species